ensembl:snRNA U2 U2 spliceosomal RNA
UGUCCUCCAUAAGAGGUCUAUAUUGAGUAGAUUUUUGGUGUUGGGAGGUGGAACUGGAGCUUGCUCCAUCCACUCCAUGCAUCGGCCUGGUAUUACAGUGCUUCCAGGAGCGGUGC